rnacentral:antisense_RNA from 1 species
GAGAGAGCGGCCUUAGGAACAGCAUGAGUGGGUGCAGUCCCCACUCGGAGCCUGCAUGUCCCAGCAGCCCAGAGUCCAUUUAAGAUCUCUCCUGUGCCAGUGCGAAGGGUAAUCUUCUGGAACCAGAGAGGGGCUGGCAGGUGGUCAGCUGCCCUUAGAGCUAGAGGUGAGAAAUUCCCAUGGUGGAAAAAGGGCCGGAAACGUCCACCAGGCAAGCUGCCCAGACACAGGAUUGGGGGACUGUCCCUUCCCUGGGUAAAAGCAAGUCUUUCCUGGUCUUUAAUGCAUGAUGUAAUACUUUUACAGUGGUGGGUGAGGUGAGGACAGGAGGAGUUUGGAAGAGGGAGGUAAUAUUAGUGCAUGUUUGUUAAAAAUCCAUCCCAGGUGAAUGACUUUUUUCUUCAUCUCCAAAAUACAAGAGAAUUAUUUUUAGGUCUCCAACUUAAAAAUAAUGUUUGGAGUUAGCAGGUAGGUGGAUCAGGGCCAGCCCUGGUCCCUUAGCCCCCCACCCCUGUCUUAGCCUAGGGACUGUUGCCCAGGGACCCGUGGGCACAGAAGCACCCCCCGCCCCACGCCCUCGGGACAACUGCCAUUUCCACAUUAUCCCCAUCUUUAGCCUGAGCGUGGAUUAAGACAGAGGAGAUCACAGACACAAGGUUAAAGAUGGUUCUUCCAUUUCAGAUUUCCAUUGUAAACAGAAGUCCUGUUAAUCCCUGCAUGCCUUUAAUAAAAAAAAGGAAUUAGUUGAUAAAAAUUGGUGAGUCACAUUCAUACAUUCGAUUUUUUUCUUUUAACUUUCAGGAUGUUGGUAUAUUCGUAAGAAAAAUAGCCUCUCUCUCAGGAUCUAGCCAAAAAGGCUGAAAGUCAAUCAGUUUAGUAAUUCACCAAAAACAGGAGCUAAAGAAAGGAAAAGGCAACUGGAGGCUAGGAUUUUUUGUUGCUGUUGUAGUUUUCUUUUUAAAUAAACAUCAUCAUCUAUGUGUAAUCAAAUUCCCAUAUUUUCUUCCUAUAAAGAAUUUGCUUUAGUUUUUCAAUAAGGCAUUUUUUUUUUGUCAUCCAAACAUCUCUUCCUUUUAAAAUUUUCUUAGAGUUAAAACCAUAAAUAAGAGGAUUUAAACCACUAAAAUGACACGUGCCAAUAUCUUCAUUCAGCCAGACCUGGUAAAUUCUAUCAAAACUAGACAGUUAAAUAAGAACCACGUUAUAAAAAUAUUAGCCAAAAAAAGACUAUUAGAUAAUUCUGCAAACUCAAAUAUGAAACUGUACUAAACAAAAUAUGUGCAAAGGUACACAAGCAUAGAGCCACGUUGGGGGUUAUGCUCAGAUUAGUUUUAAAGCUCGCUCUAGUGGAUUUAAUUCAAGAGUUGUCCACGGUGGUGGUGUUUACUUUGAACUCACACGAGUCAAAGAAAAAUAAAAUAUGCACAACCACUUCCCCAAAAGGUGUCUUAUGGAGCCGGUGCUUCAUCGUGUCCACACCCAGGACUGCCUGGGGUGUCCCUAGGGCUGGGGGGUGGUGAGAGCAGGCCAGGCUGAGGGGCCUGCCUUGGAAGGCGAGGGUCUGAGGGGUGGGGCUGUAAAGACAGCCCUUUCAUCAGGAAGCUGGAGCUGAAAAGCCCUAAUACCCCUAAAUCCCCAAACUCUUGGAUCCCGUCCCACAGACGAGAGUC